rnacentral:rRNA from 1 species
AUUGAACGCUGGCGGCAUGCCUUACACAUGCAAGUCGAGCGGCAGCGCGGGGGCAACCCUGGCGGCGAGCGGCGCACGGGUGAGUAAUACAUCGGAACGUGUCCUUUCGUGGGGGAUAACCAGUCGAAAGAUUGGCUAAUACCGCAUGAGAUCUCACGAUGAAAGCGGGGGAUCCGAGGGUAACUUCGGGCCUCGCGCGAUUGGAGCGGCCGAUGUCGGAUAGCUAGUUGGCGGGGUAAAAGCCCACCAAGGCGACGAUCCGUAGCUGGUUUGAGAGAACGACCAGCCACACUGGGACUGAGACACGGCCCAGACUCCUACGGGAGGCAGCAGUGGGGAAUUUUGGACAAUGGGGCAACCCUGAUCCAGCCAUGCCGCGUGUGUGAAGAAGG